rnacentral:snRNA from 1 species
AUGCUUACCUGGCAGGGGAGAUACCAUGAUCAUGUAGGUGGUUUUUCCCAGGGCAAGGCCUAUCUAUUGUACUCUGGAUGUACUGACCCCUGAGAUUUCCCCAAAUGUGGGAAACUCAAAGACAUAAUUUGUGGUAGUGGGGGACUGCACUCACACUCUUCCCUG